rnacentral:rRNA from 1 species
UAGGGAAUCUUCCACAAUGGGCGCAAGCCUGAUGGAGCAACGCCGCGUGAGUGAAGAAGGUCUUCGGAUCGUAAAGCUCUGUUGUAAGAGAAGAACGUGUGUGAGAGUGGAAAGUUCACACAGUGACGGUAACUUACCAGAAAGGGACGGCUAACUACGUGUCAG